rnacentral:rRNA from 1 species
AGCAGCCGCGGUAACUCCAGCUCCAAUAGCGUAUAUUAAAGUUGUUGCAGUUAAAAAGCUCGUAGUUGAAUUUCGGGGUUAGUAGAUUGGUCAUGCCUCUGGUAUGCACUGGUCUUACUGAUUCCUCCUUCCUGAUGAACCGUAAUGCCAUUAAUUUGGUGUUGCGGGGAAACUGGACUGUUACUUUGAAAAAAUUAGAGUGUUUAAAGCAGGCUAACGCUUGAAUACAUUAGCAUGGAAUAAUGAAAUAGGACGUUUGAUUCUAUUUUGUUGGUUUCUAGGAUCGACGUAAUGAUUAAUAGGGAUAGUUGGGGGCAUUAGUAUUCAAUUGUCAGAGGUGAAAUUCUUGGAUUUAUUGAAGACUAACUACUGCGAAAGCAUUUGCCAAGGAUGUUUUCAUUAAUCAAGAACGAAAUUAGGGGAUCGAAGACGAUCAGAUACCGUCGUAGUCUUAACCAUAAACUAAUGCCGACUAGGGAUCGGAUGAUGUAAUUUUUAAUGACUCAUUCGGCGCCUUAC